UACGUAGGGUGCAAGCGUUGUCCGGAAUUAUUGGGCGUAAAGAGCUCGUAGGCGGUCUGUCGCGUCUGCUGUGAAAACUCAGGGCUUAACCCUGAGCUUGCAGUGGGUACGGGCAGACUAGAGUGCGGUAGGGGAGACUGGAAUUCCUGGUGUAGCGGUGAAAUGCGCAGAUAUCAGGAGGAACACCGGUCGCGAAGGCGGGUCUCUGGGCCGAUACUGACGCUGAGGAGCGAAAGCGUGGGUAGCAAACAGG
rnacentral:rRNA from 1 species